UGAAAAUGGAUGGCGCUCAAGCCGACCCCCGAUACUCAGCCGUCAAGGUAAUAAUUGUACUUGUAUGAUUUCGAAACCUUGACGAGUAGGAGGGCGCAGCGAUGUGCGUAGAAGCGUAGUCGUGAGACUGCGUGGAGCCGUCGUUGGUGCAGAUCUUGGUAGUAGUAGCAAACACUCUCUUGAGAAUGUUUAAGUUACCGAUGGAGGGCUGUGCGGAGAAGGGUUCCUCGUCAACUGCAGUUGGACGAGGGUUAAUCGAUCCUAAGUCCAUGGCUCGUGCUUUACUCAUAGGUGUAAAGACAUGUUCCACUAGAAAGAAUGUCAUAUACGACGGGCGAAAGGGAAUCCGGUUAAAAUUCCGGAAUUCGGCGAGGGUAUAAAGUAGCCGAGGUAGUUGAAUUUAUCUUUAGCUUUCCUGACGCUCUCGGUAACGAGAGAUAGAGCCAAAGACGUUGACAACAGCCCGGGGAAGAGCUAGCUCUUUUCUUCAUAAGGCACCGUGGACCCUGGAAUCAAUUUGAUGGGAGAAAGGGUAUAGUUAGACGCGGUUGCUUGCCGAAGAGUGUUGCAUGUGUUGCAGCAUCUCGUGUGUUGUUGUCGGCCCUUGAAAACUUUGGUCGAGGGAUUGUUUCAUUUGUGAAGCUCUCAUACCUUCUCGUCGCAAGUCGUACUCAUAUCCGCAUCAGGUCUCCGGAGGUGCUUAGUCUCUGGUCGAUAGAUUAAUGUAGAUAAGGGAAGUCGGCAAAUUGGAUCCGUAACCUCGGGAGAAGGAUUGGCUCUUAGGGGCGGGCUAGUCGGGCCUUCAAGUGGAAGCAGUUGAGGAGUAUGAUUCGACGUCUUUGGUGGUUUUGGCUACUACAGUCUUGAUCACCGUGUGCGUUCGCGUCUUCUAUCUCUUCUGUGGACGUUUGUUGGCUAGCGACGGAGGAGUUGUGGCUUUGCUGCUUCUCUGUAUGGAUUAACCUCCUUACCGUCUCGGCUGGCCGUUAGCGUCCAACUAAGAACUGGCACGGACUAGGGGAAUCCGACUGUCUAAUUAAAACAAAGCAUUGCGAUGGCUGCAACCCAGUGUUGACGCAAUGUGAUUUCUGCCCAGUGCUCUGAAUGUCACAGUGAAGAAAUUCAACCAAGCGCGGGUAAACGGCGGGAGUAACUAUGACUCUCUUAAGGUAGCCAAAUGCCUCGUCAUCUAAUUAGUGACGCGCAUGAAUGGAUUAACGAGAUUCCCACUG
rnacentral:rRNA from 1 species